rnacentral:tRNA from 1 species
GGGCGGAUGUAGCCAAGUGGAUUAAGGCGGUGGAUUGUGAAUCCACCAUGCGCGAG